ACGCACGCUGGCGGCGUGCUUCACCCAUGCAAGUCGAACGGAAAGGCCCUGCUUGCAGGGUACUCGAGUGGCGAACGGGUGAGUAACACGUGGGUGAUCUGCCCUGCACUUCGGGAUAAGCCUGGGAAACUGGGUCUAAUACCGGAUAGGAGCCAUUUUUAGUGUGAUGGUUGGAAAGUUUUUUCGGUGUAGGAUGAGCUCGCGGCCUAUCAGCUUGUUGGUGGGGUAAUGGCCUACCAAGGCGGCGACGGGUAGCCGGCCUGAGAGGGUGGACGGCCACAUUGGGACUGAGAUACGGCCCAGACUCCUACGGGAGGCAGCAGUGGGGAAUAUUGCACAAUGGGCGCAAGCCUGAUGCAGCGACGCCGCGUGGGGGAUGACGGCCUUCGGGUUGUAAACUCCUUUCGCUAGGGACGAAGCUUUUUGUGACGGUACCUAGAUAAGAAGCACCGGCUAACUACGUG
rnacentral:rRNA from 1 species